rnacentral:rRNA from 1 species
GCGACCCCAGGAUGGGCGAGGCCACCCGCUGAGUUAAGCAUAUCAAUAAGCGGAGGAAAGAACUUACGAGGAUUCC